UACGGAGGGGGCUAGCGUUGUUCGGAAUUACUGGGCGUAAAGCGCACGUAGGCGGCUUUGUAAGUUAGAGGUGAAAGCCCGGAGCUCAACUCCGGAAUUGCCUUUAAGACUGCAUCGCUUGAAUCCAGGAGAGGUGAGUGGAAUUCCGAGUGUAGAGGUGAAAUUCGUAGAUAUUCGGAAGAACACCAGUGGCGAAGGCGGCUCACUGGACUGGUAUUGACGCGUGAGGUGCGAAAGCGUGGGGAGCAAACAGG
rnacentral:rRNA from 1 species